AAUUGCCUACGGGGGGCAGCAGUGGGGAAUUUUGCGCAAUGGGGGAAGCCCUGACGCAGCAACGCCGCGUGCGGGACGAAGGCCCUCGGGCUGUAAACCGCUCUCAGCAGGGAAGACAUCGACGGUACCUGCAGAAGAAGCUCCGGCUAACUACGUGCCAGCAGCCGCGGUAAUACGUAGGGGGCGAGCGUUAUCCGGAUUCAUUGGGCGUAAAGCGCGCGUAGGCGGCCGCCUAAGCGGAACUUCUAACCCCGGGGCUCAACCUCGGGCCGGGUUCCGGACUGGGCGGCUC
rnacentral:rRNA from 1 species